rnacentral:rRNA from 1 species
CCUACGGGAGGCAGCAGUGAGGAAUAUUGGUCAAUGGGCGCGAGCCUGAACCAGCCAAGCCGCGUGAGGGAAGACGGUCCUGUGGAUUGUAAACCUCUUUUGUCGGGGAGCAAAGGACGCCACGCGUGCCGUUCCGAGAGUACCCGAAGAAAAAGCAUCGGCUAACUCCGUGCCAGCAGCCGCGGUAAUACGGAGGAUGCGAGCGUUAUCCGGAUUUAUUGGGUUUAAAGGGUGCGCAGGCGGAAGAGUAAGUCAGCGGUAAAAUGGAGGGGCUCAACCCCUGCGAGCCGUUGAAACUGGUGUGCGUGAGAGAGUGAGAGGGAUGCGGAAGGUGCGGGGUAGCGGGGAAAUGUAGAGAGAUAACGCAGAAAUCCGAGUGUGAAGGCAGAAGACCGGCGCUCAACGGAGGCGCAGGGACGAAAGUGUGGGUAUAGAGCAGGAGUAGAAAACCCAGUAGGU